rnacentral:rRNA from 1 species
GAUGAACGCUGGCGGCGUGCCUAAUACAUGCAAGUCGAGCGAACAGACGAGGAGCUUGCUCCUCUGACGUUAGUGGCGGACGGGUGAGUAACACGUGGAUAACCUACCUAUAAGACUGGGAUAACUUCGGGAAACCGGAGCUAAUACCGGAUAAUAUAUUGAACCGCAUGGUUCAAUAGUGAAAGACGGUUUUGCUGUCACUUAUAGAUGGAUCCGCGCCGCAUUAGCUAGUUGGUAAGGUAACGGCUUACCAAGGCAACGAUGCGUAGCCGACCUGAGAGGGUGAUCGACCACACUGGAACUGAGACACGGUCCAGACUCCUACGGGAGGCAGCAGUAGGGAAUCUUCCGCAAUGGGCGAAAGCCUGACGGAGCAACGCCGCGUGAGUGAUGAAGGUCUUCGGAUCGUAAAACUCUGUUAUUAGGGAAGAACAAAUGUGUAAGUAACUAUGCACGUCUUGACGGUACCUAAUCAGAAAGCCACGGCUAACUACGUG